AUUGAACGCUGGCGGCAUGCUUUACACAUGCAAGUCGAACGGCAGCGCGGGCUUCGGCCUGGCGGCGAGUGGCGAACGGGUGAGUAAUACAUCGGAACGUGCCCAGUAGUGGGGGAUAGCUCGGCGAAAGCCGGAUUAAUACCGCAUACGACCUGAGGGUGAAAGCGGGGGAUCUUCGGACCUCGCGCUAUUGGAGCGGCCGAUGGCGGAUUAGCUAGUUGGUGGGGUAAAGGCCUACCAAGGCGACGAUCUGUAGCUGGUCUGAGAGGACGACCAGCCACACUGGGACUGGGACACGGCCCAGACUCCUGCGGGAGGCAGCAGUGGGGAAUUUUGGACAAUGGGCGAAAGCCUGAUCCAGCAAUGCCGCGUGUGUGAUGAAGGCCUUCGGGUUGUAAAGCACUUUUGGCGGGAACGAAAAGGACUGUGCCAAUACCACGGUUCGAUGACGGUACCCGCAGAAUAAGCACCGGCUAACUACGUG
rnacentral:rRNA from 1 species